rnacentral:rRNA from 1 species
ACUCCUACGGGAGGCAGGCAGUAGGGAAUCUUCCACGAAUGGGCGCAAGCCUGAUGGAGCAACACCGCGUGAAGUGAAGAAGGGUUUCGGCUCGUAAAGCUCUGUUGUUAAAGAAGAACACGUAUGAGAGUAACUGUUCAUACGUUGACGGUAUUUAACCAGAAAGUCACGGCUAACUACGUGCCAGCAGCCGCGGGUAAUACGUAGGUGGCAAGCGUUAUCCGGAUUUAUUGGGCGUAAAGAGAGUGCAGGCGGUUUUCUAAGUCUGAUGUGAAAGCCUUCGGCUUAACCGGAGAAGUGCAUCGGAAACUGGAUAACUUGAGUGCAGAAGAGGGUAGUGGAACUCCAUGUGUAGCGGUGGAAUGCGUAGAUAUAUGGAAGAACACCAGUGGCGAAGGCGGCUACCUGGUCUGCAACUGACGCUGAGACUCGAAAGCAUGGGUAGCGAACAGGAUUAGAUACCCUGGUAGGAUAGCG